GACGAACGCUGGCGGCGUGCUUAAAACAUGCAAGUCGAACGAUGCCUUCGGGCAUAGUGGCGCACGGGUGCGUAACGCGUGGGAAUCUGCCCUUGGGUUCGGAAUAACUCAGAGAAAUUUGAGCUAAUACCGGAUGAUGACGUAAGUCCAAAGAUUUAUCGCCCAAGGAUGAGCCCGCGUAAGAUUAGCUAGUUGGUGGGGUAAAGGCCUACCAAGGCGACGAUCUUUAGCUGGUCUGAGAGGAUGAUCAGCCACACUGGGACUGAGACACGGCCCAGACUCCUACGGAGGCAGCAGUGGGAAUAUUGGACAAUGGGCGAAAGCCUGAUCCAGCAAUGCCGCGUGAGUGAUGAAGGCCUUAGGGUUGUAAAGCUCUUUUACCAGGGAUGAUAAUGACAGUACCUGGAGAAUAAGCUCCGGCUAACUCCGUG
rnacentral:rRNA from 1 species